UAAUGAGGUCUAAAUAUCCUGAAGGCACUAGAUCCCAUCUGAUCCCAGAAGCUAACUAGAGUGAAACUUGGUUAGUACUUGGAUAGGGGACCACCAAGAAAUUGCAAGUGCUGUAGGCU
rnacentral:rRNA from 1 species